AAAAAAACAGAAUUUACUGGUGCUUAACAAGUCUAAAUGAUAUGAAAAAUCAUUAGUGCAAAGAACUUCAGAUGGAUUGAAGUUGGAGAAGUGUAUAUCAAGCAAUGGUGUUUCUUCAUCCUCUACACAGAAAGAGAGAAUCCCGUCGGGUUCUAGCAACUUGAUGAAGAGUAUGUUUCUAACUGCAGCUCGACCUACUUGGCUCGGUUUACCUUCAAGUAAGGCAAUGCACCGAUUACAUUGUUGUAAUCACUGCGGUCAACUUGUACCGUUUUCGAGAGUCUGUUUUUCCUUUUAGUAUUCUUCUUCCUAAGCAAAUGCUGCUUCCCAG
rnacentral:misc_RNA from 1 species